UACGUAGGUGGCAAGCGUUGUCCGGAAUUAUUGGGCGUAAAGCGCGCGCAGGCGGUCCUUUAAGUCUGAUGUGAAAGCCCACGGCUCAACCGAGGAAGUGCGCCCGAAACUGCAUGGCUUGAGUACCGGAGAGGAUGGCGGAAUUCCCCAAGUAGAGGUGAAAUUCGUAGAUAUGGGGAGGAACACCGGUGGCGAAGGCGGCCAUCUGGACGGAUACUGACGCUGAGACGCGAAAGCGUGGGGAGCAAACAGGG
rnacentral:rRNA from 1 species